rnacentral:rRNA from 1 species
CGGCAUGCUUUACACAUGCAAGUCGAACGGUAACAGGCCUUCGGGCGCUGACGAGUGGCGAACGGGUGAGUAAUGCAUCGGAACGUGCCCAGAGGUGGGGGAUAACGCAGCGAAAGCUGUGCUAAUACCGCAUAUUAUCUGAGGAUGAAAGCGGGGGACUAAGCAGCAAUGUUUGGCCUCGCGCCUUUGGAGCGGCCGAUGUCAGAUUAGGUAGUUGGUGGGGUAAAGGCCCACCAAGCCAACGAUCUGUAGCUGGUCUGAGAGGACGACCAGCCACACUGGGACUGAGACACGGCCCAGACUCCUACGGGAGGCAGCAGUGGGGAAUUUUGGACAAUGGGGGAAACCCUGAUCCAGCAAUGCCGCGUGAGUGAAGAAGGCCUUCGGGUUGUAAAGCUCUUUUGUCAGGGAAGAAACACCGGCUCUAACACAGUCCGGGAAUGACGGUACCUGAAGAAUAAGCACCGGCUAACUACGUG